GCUAUAUACCCAAUAGCAUGUAUUGAAGGCUCAAUGGUGCUCUCCUUUGUGAAACUACAUUGACACAGUACUUCCAAGACAAUGACUAUGGGGGACUCGCCUUUUGUAGUUUGGAAGGAGCAUAAAUGUGUAAUGAGAUUUUAUAUCUAAAUGCUCUGCACUUGAGAAAGAAGUGGAGCAGGCAUACAAACGCUACAUUAUGAGAUUGUAGAGCUUUAACUUGCCCACAAACAGAUACUUGACAAUGCCCAUCUCCAUAACUUCAUGACCCUACAGAGAGAACUCUCUGGUUUGAUUAAUAUAGCGUAUAAUUGAGCCCUCACCAGAUCAAAG